rnacentral:lncRNA from 1 species
AUCACAACCUCUUAGAAGUGGAAAAAAUCGUAAAACCAUUGCUGCCAGAAAGAGGUUAAUCAUGUGGAGAAAAAAGGGGGGUGAGUCUAGGGGAUUAAGUCAAAAGAGUGGGAGAAAUAUCAUGGAGUAAAUUCUGACCGUUUAAGAAAGCAUCUGAUAAGAAACCAUGAGAUUUAUAAACAUGCUCGCAUUCCCACAUAGUUGAGAAAGCGAGUAAAACGAACUUGAAUGCUGAAAUCUAUGAUAUCUUUAAACAAGUUCGAAUUAACAUACCUAUGUUAGAUGCUAUCAACAACAAAUACCUUCCUAUGCCAAGUUCUUGAAGACUUGUGGUACUGUUAACGAAAGUUUAUGGUGCAAAGAAGCGUCGAUGAUAUGGAGUCAAAGUGCAAUUCUUUCAAUGCAAAUCUGUGCCAAAAUAAAGACCCCCCUGGUUGUCCUACACUUUCGUGUAUAUAGGGGGUUUAAGGAUCGAUCGAGCACUUCUUGACCUAGGGUCUAGCGUUAAUCUUUUGGCAUAUUCUGUGUAUAAAGAAUUAGGGUCUUGGAUAACUUAAGCCAACACGUGUUACACUCGAUUCGCCGAUCUAUCCAUUAAGGUCCCUAGAGGUGUCCGUAGAGGAUGUUCUUAUCCAAGUUGAUACGGUUUUAACUAUCCGUUUGAUUUAUUGUUUUUUAGAUACCCACCCUGUGGAGGCCAAAUCUUCUAGGCAUCAUAUUCCUGUUUAUUUAGGACGACAAUUUUCUAGGCAAACGUCGAAUGCCAUUAUUCAUUGUAGGAAUGGGCUACGUAAACUUUCCGUUUGGGAUAAACCCUUAGAAAACUAUAUCUUCACGGUGGGUCCAAUUAAUCGGAUGAUAGAACCAUAUUGAGAAGGUGAAUUUAUUGGUCUGUAUACAAAAGCAUGUGAACAAUGAAUCUAUGGAGAUCCAUUCAGAGGGCUCUAUUUUAGUGAGUCCAAUGACCAAUUGAAUCCUACAUGUUUGAGGUUUAAAGGCUCAAGUUUUUGAAGGGGAAAAGUCAAUUUUUUUAGCAGUGAGUCAUUGGACUCCUACCUUUGUGGUUUCACAAUUAAGUUUUUUGGAAAAUGUGUAAUGGACUACCGAAAGUCAAAGAAUCAAAGAUGAAACUUUGUGCAGAUGACCAACAGACUUUGCAAAUCUUUUUAAAGUUGUUCAUAGUUCGUUAUACAUCUCGAUUACACUUUAUUUCCGUGAAAUUUCAAAGUAGGUGGCCGGGACCGUUCACUUUCACUUCAAUGUUUUAAAGUUAAAGGACAUCAUUGAAGCCCAAUCUUGAUUUUAAGCAAGGAGGAGUUGAAGGGCGUGGAUCGACAUGACCCACCUUGAAUGAAAUUGAAACCUAAUACUUUCUAUGUUUGUUGUAUAAUUUGGGGGCUUAGGUAGAGUCGAUUAGAGAUAGUUUAAUUCUAGUUUGAGGGAGAUGGGUGUUGUCUCACCCUUUCCUUUUCUCCCCUUCGUCUUUUUUAUUUUUAUUUUUAUUUUUAUUUAUUUUUCGCAUUUCUGAGAAUGCCUCAUCUCUAGUUGGGGGGAGUACUUCGUAGUUUUUUUUGUUUUAGGAUAAUUAGUUUUUUAGGUAGUUUAAUUUUUCAUAAAAAAAUUUAAAAAAAAAUUUGAAAAAAUUUGAAAAAAAAAUAAAUAUUGCUACCGUGUUUUCUAUUACAUGUCAUCCGAAGCAGGUUUUGUUUUUUCUGGCCUCAAAUUUUAUUGCGACUUUUCGCCUCCAUAUUUAUAAUCUGAUCUUUCGCCUAUUGUGGAUGUGUUGAGAAUUCUUAGUUUUUGGACCAGGACUGAUCAUCAUUUUUGUUUUUAAAGAAGUUGAAGCAACAUUAACUUUGCAUAAUCUGAUAUUUUAAAGGUAUUAUCAUGUCAAGUCAAUCUUGCAAUUCUUGAUACUUUAUUGGUUGUGCUAUUAAGAGAGAGAUGAGAACAUACACUACCCGAAGUCGUAUUUUUUCGAAGGAAACUAUUUAUAAGUCUCCUGACUGGCAUCCCAAAGUGGAGAUUUAUACCGUUGUGAGCUUCAGGCCUGAAUCGUUUUUUGUGAGCGAUUUUUUUUUUUUUUUUUUUUACCUUUACUCAAGAAAAUUUAUUGAACCUUCAUUAUUUGAAUAGCUUCAUUAUUUUUGAAUUUGGUUACAUGUUAGUGUGCUGAGUUAUAAUGUUUUGACCACACUGAACCUUUUACAUGAUUUACAUUCAUUUCUAUAUUUUGCUACAUUAAGGUCAAUUCAGAUAUAUCGUCCCCUUUUAUGUUAUUCUUUUCGGUAUUGCAUAUAAAAAAGAUCUCUAAAACGCCUUGUUGGAGGAAAUUUUUGAGAAGUUGCGAACAGACGGAGGUCAAGGGGGAAUGACAAAAAGAAAACCGAAAAAAAGGAGUUCCAAGUUGAAAGUGUUAAAAAAGGAGUUUGAAGUGUAUGUUUUUGUUAGUUGGCAUGUGUAGUGCAUGCAUAUGUUGAGAUCUAUCACCACUUGAUUC